rnacentral:rRNA from 1 species
GAUUGAACGUGCUUGCACGGACUUGACGUUGGUUUACCAGCGAGUGGCGGACGGGUGAGUAACACGUAGGUAACCUGCCCCAAAGCGGGGGAUAACAUUUGGAAACAGAUGCUAAUACCGCAUAACAAUUUGAAUCGCAUGAUUCAAAUUUAAAAGAUGGCUUCGGCUAUCACUUUGGGAUGGACCUGCGGCGCAUUAGCUUGUUGGUAGGGUAACGGCCUACCAAGGCUGUGAUGCGUAGCCGAGUUGAGAGACUGAUCGGCCACAAUGGAACUGAGACACGGUCCAUACUCCUACGGGAGGCAGCAGUAGGGAAUCUUCCACAAUGGGCGCAAGCCUGAUGGAGCAACACCGCGUGAGUGAAGAAGGGUUUCGGCUCGUAAAGCUCUGUUGUUAGAGAAGAACGUGCGUGAGAGCAACUGUUCACGCAGUGACGGUAUCUAACCAGAAAGUCACGGCUAACUACGUGCCAGCAGCCGCGGUAAUACGUAGGUGGCAAGCGUUAUCCGGAUUUAUUGGGCGUAAAGCGAGCGCAGGCGGUUUGAUAAGUCUGAUGUGAAAGCCUUUGGCUUAACCAAAGAAGUGCAUCGGAAACUGUCAGACUUGAGUGCAGAAGAGGACAGUGGAAUUCCAUGUGGUAG